CCAGGAACGAGCCGAGCACCUCGCCAGCCUCGAUCGACUUGUCGGCGCGUGGGAAAUAGGCGCGGUUGCCCCAGUUCUGCCCGGUGCGGAAGAAGAACACCUCAACGCACGAAUAGCCGCCUUCCUGGUGGAUGGCGAACACGUCCGCCUCUUCCACCGUGCGCGGGUUGAUGCCCUGCUGCGACUGGAUCGCGGAGAGCGCGGCAAGACGAUCGCGGUAGAGCGCGGCACGCUCG
rnacentral:misc_RNA from 1 species